AACUUUUCUGAGAAAGUCUAAGGCUGAUAUGUAGUUUUUUUCAGUUAUGCAAGAAGUUAUCAAAUGACUUGGGUAUAGCCAAGGCAGCACAGCUUGUGAGCUCGGAAAUGAUAAGCGUGUAUGAAGAAAAUAAGUUAGAAACCAGAUAAUGUAAAUUUUUCCUUUUUGUUUUCUGGUGGGUUAGUUACGGUAGAUGUCAUGGAUUUGAAUUCAGAGCUUUGAUUAGUCUCUGCAGUUAUAUAUUCAUAUUCAUGCAUUCUUAUUCAUAUGUAUAUUCUAUAAUGAACACUAUAUAUAUUAUAUGUUAGAUAAGGAAUUUUGAAUUUGCAAUUUCUUUUAAUGGUUACCAUAAGUUUUC
rnacentral:lncRNA from 1 species